rnacentral:rRNA from 1 species
AAGGCUGUCGCUGCAGGAUUGGUUCGCGCCCUAUCAGCUUGUUGGUGAGGUAACGGCUCACCAAGGCUACGACGGGUACCUGGUCUGAGAGGACGAUCAGGCACACUGGAACUGAGACACGGUCCAGACACCUACGGGUGGCAGCAGUCGAGAAUAAUUCACAAUGGGGGCAACCCUGAUGGUGCAACGCCGCGUGGAGGAUGAAGGUCUUCGGAUUGUAAACUCCUGUCAUCCGGGAGUAAGACCUGGCGAUGAAUAGUCGACAGGGUUGAUAGUACCGGAAGAGGAAGGGACGGCUAACUUCGUGCCAGCAGCCGCGGUAAUACGAAGGUCCCGAGCGUUGUUCGGAAUCACUGGGCGUAAAGGGAGCGUANGCGGCGUGGUAAGUCAGAUGUGAAAUCCCGGGGCUCAACCCCGGAACUGCAUCCGAUACUGCCGUGCUAGAGGAUUGGAGAGGUAGCUGGAAUUCACGGUGUAGCAGUGAAAUGCGUANAUAUCGUGAGGAACACUCGUGGCGAAAGCGAGCUACUGNNCAACUCCUGACGCUGANGCUCGNAAGGCCAGGGUANCGAAAGGGAUUANAUACCCCUGUANUCCUGNNAGUAAACGGUGCACGCUUNGNGUGAGGGAAUCGACCCCCCUUGUGCCGNAGCAAACGCGUUAAGCGUGCCGCCUGGNA